rnacentral:rRNA from 1 species
GCUUUUGUCUGCCAUCUCUUACCCAUGUCUUUUGCGUACUACACGUUUCCUCGGCAGGUCCGCCUGCCGUUGGACCCCAUUAAACCAUUUGAAGUUGAAGUCAGCGUCUGAAAAACAUAAUAAUUACAACUUUUAACAACGGAUCUCUUGGUUCUGGCAUCGAUGAAGAACGCAGCGAAAUGCGAUAAGUAGUGUGAAUUGCAGAAUUCAGUGAAUCAUCGAAUCUUUGAACGCACAUUGCGCCCCUUGGUAUUCCAUGGGGCAUGCCUGUUCGAGCGUCAUUUGUACCUUCAAGCUCUGCUUGGUGUUGGGUGUUUGUCCCGCCUUUGUGCGUGGACUCGCCUCAAAGCAAUUGGCAGCCGGCGUAUAGGUUUCGGAGCGCAGCACAAAACGCGCUCUGUGUCCUUGUACGACGACGUCCAUCAAGCCUUUUUUUACACUCUUGACCUCGGAUCAGGUAGGGAUACCCGCUGAACUUAAGCAUAUCAAUAAGCGGAGG